UACCGUUCCAAUGAUCCCAUUCCAGCCAUUACAAUGAGCCCGUCCUCCUAUAGAUCCUCAUACCAGCCUCCUCUGUCAGACAGAACAAACAGUACAUGUCCCUGACAUCUGAUCUGUACUACCAUGAAAGGCAGAGGAGAGAAAACAGAUUAUAUAAAGAUUGGAAGUAUCCUGAGCAUCACUGAAACAUCAACAGGCAAAGUGAGACAGACUUACUGUACAGAGACACAGGGAGAGUCAUUAUAGUGAGUGAGACAGACUUACUGUACAGAGACACAGGGAGAGUCAUUAUAGUGAGUGAGACAGACUUACUGUACAGAGACACAGGGAGAGUCAUUAUAGUGAGUGAGACAGACUUACUGUACAGAGACACAGGGAGAGUCAUUAUAGUGAGUGAGACAGACUUACUGUACAGAGACACAGGGAGAGUCAUUAUAGUGAGUGAGACAGACUUACUGUACAGAGACACAGGGAGAGUCAUUAUAGUGAGUGAGACAGACUUACUGUACAGAGACACAGGGAGAGUCAUUAUAGUGAGUGAGACAGACUUACUGUACAGAGACACAGGGAGAGUCAUUAUAGUGAGUGAGACAGACUUACUGUACAGAGACACAGGGAGAGUCAUCAUAGUGAGUGAGACAGACUUACUGUACAGAGACACAGGAGAGUCAUUAUAGUGAGUGAGACAGACUUACUGUACAGAGACACAGGGAGAGUCAUCAUAGUGAGUGAGACAUAUUGAGAUAUGAUGCUGGCUGUGUGUUUCACUGUUGUCCUGGGCCUUCUCUCAGUGAGUGACUCCCAGGCGGCCCCUUUAACCUGUGAGGAUCUCCUGAGACCACUGGAGCUGAGCAGUGUCAAUCAGACUCUGGGAAAGUGGAUGUAUAUUGCUGAGAGUUCGGAUGGUCCUUUCUGGGACCAAAUACUGUAUACCUUAUUACACAGUGCCUGGAUAGAGAUCUCUGUACCGGUCGGUACCCAGAACAAUAUUCUUGACAUCGCCCAUUUCUUUUGCAUCGGUAUUCCACAUCUAAAUGCUUUUCGAUUCAGAUGCUACAGGAUCAACUCUAACUUUACUCUGCAUGACAAUAAAACAUGGACCUCAGUGACCCCCAGCCCUGUUACUGAGGUUCUCCUGACAACGUGCUCAGACUGUCUCCUGACCCUGGAGAGAUGGGAUGAGGAUGAGAAGACCUUCACCUCUCUAACACUCUACAGUAGGAGACGGGAGCUCACUGCUACUGAACUAGACUUCUAUACGAAACAGGUGGAUUGUCUCAGUCUGCCACCAGCGACGUUCAUCGAUCCAAAGAAAGAUCUCUGUCUCGACACAACUCCACUCUUAGAAGAUACAAUUGAGAAGGAAGUUGAGAAUGCAGUUAAACUUAUUUCAGAGAUUCCAAGAAUACUCAGAUAUACAUUUACACGUUUAAUUAAUUAUGUUUUUUAGCCAUUUUCAAUGUUUUUGUGUUUGAUGAGUAGUUGCCUCCUCCUCUCUGAUUGGUUUGCUGCCCACCAUGUAUUCUACAGUAACCCAGGGUUACAGUACCUAACCCAGCAAGCCUGUAAACAGUCCCUGAUGCCUUGAUGUGGGACCAAACUCCACUCUGUUCAUGUUGCUCUACAUUCAACACAAUAAAUCCAGAUUAAGACAA